UGCUGGAGGUAUCAGAAGUGCGAAUGCUGACAUAAGUAACGAUAAAGCGGGUGAAAAGCCCGCUCGCCGGAAGACCAAGGGUUCCUGUCCAACGUUAAUCGGGGCAGGGUGAGUCGACCCCUAAGGCGAGGCCGAAAGGCGUAGUCGAUGGGAAACGGGUUAAUAUUCCCGUACUUGGUGUUACUGCGAAGGGGGGACGGAGAAGGCUAUGUUGGCCGGGCGACGGUUGUCCCGGUUUAAGCGUGUAGGUGUGUGUUCCAGGUAAAUCCGGUUCACUUUAACACUGAGGCGUGACGACGAGGCACUACGGUGCUGAAGCAACAAAUGCCCUGCUUCCAGGAAAAGCCUCUAAGCAUCAGGUAACAUCAAAUCGUACCCCAAACCGACACAGGUGGUCAGGUAGAGAAUACCAAGGCGCUUGAGAGAACUCGGGUGAAGGAACUAGGCAAAAUGGUGCCGUAACUUCGGGAGAAGGCACGCUGACACGUAGGUGAAGUGAUUUACUCAUGGAGCUGAAGUCAGUCGAAGAUACCAGCUGGCUGCAACUGUUUAUUAAAAACACAGCACUGUGCAAACACGAAAGUGGACGUAUACGGUGUGACGCCUGCCCGGUGCCGGAAGGUUAAUUGAUGGGGUCAGCGCAAGCGAAGCUCCUGAUCGAAGCCCCGGUAAACGGCGGCCGUAACUAUAACGGUCCUAAGGUAGCGAAAUUCCUUGUCGGGUAAGUUCCGACCUGCACGAAUGGCGUAAUGAUGGCCAGGCUGUCUCCACCCGAGACUCAGUGAAAUUGAACUCGCUGUGAAGAUGCAGUGUACCCGCGGCAAGACGGAAAGACCCCGUGAACCUUUACUAUAGCUUGACACUGAACAUUGAGCCUUGAUGUGUAGGAUAGGUGGGAGGCUUUGAAGUGUGGACGCCAGUCUGCAUGGAGCCGACCUUGAAAUACCACCCUUUAAUGUUUGAUGUUCUAACGUGGACCCGUAAUCCGGGUUGCGGACAGUGUCUGGUGGGUAGUUUGACUGGGGCGGUCUCCUCCUAAAGAGUAACGGAGGAGCACGAAGGUUGGCUAAUCCUGGUCGGACAUCAGGAGGUUAGUGCAAUGGCAUAAGCCAGCUUGACUGCGAGCGUGACGGCGCGAGCAGGUGCGAAAGCAGGUCAUAGUGAUCCGGUGGUUCUGAAUGGAAGGGCCAUCGCUCAACGGAUAAAAGGUACUCCGGGGAUAACAGGCUGAUACCGCCCAAGAGUUCAUAUCGACGGCGGUGUUUGGCACCUCGAUGUCGGCUCAUCACAUCCUGGGGCUGAAGUAGGUCCCAAGGGUAUGGCUGUUCGCCAUUUAAAGUGGUACGCGAGCUGGGUUUAGAACGUCGUGAGACAGUUCGGUCCCUAUCUGCCGUGGGCGCUGGAGAACUGAGGGGGGCUGCUCCUAGUACGAGAGGACCGGAGUGGACGCAUCACUGGUGUUCGGGUUGUCAUGCCAAUGGCACUGCCCGGUAGCUAAAUGCGGAAGAGAUAAGUGCUGAAAGCAUCUAAGCACGAAACUUGCCCCGAGAUGAGUUCUCCCUGAGACUUUAGGUCUCCUGAAGGAACGUUGAAGACGACGACGUUGAUAGGCCGGGUGUGUAAGCGCAGCGAUGCGUUGAGCUAACCGGUACUAAUGAACCGUGAGGCUUAACCUU
rnacentral:rRNA from 1 species